AACGAACGCUGGCGGCAGGCCUAACACAUGCAAGUCGAGCGAAGCCUUCGGGCUUAGCGGCGGACGGGUGAGUAACGCGUGGGAACGUGCCCUUUGCUACGGAAUAGCCGCGGGAAACUGGGAGUAAUACCGUAUGUGCCCUUCGGGGGAAAGAUUUAUCGGCAAAGGAUCGGCCCGCGUUGGAGUAGGUCGUUGGUGGGGUAAUGGCCCACCAAGCCGACGAUCGGUAGCUGGUUUGAGAGGAUGAUCAGCAACACUGGGACGUGAGACACGGCCCAGACUCCUACGGGAGGCAGCAGUGGGGAAUCUUAGACAGUGGGUGCAAGCCUGAUCUAGCCAUGCCGCGUGGGUGAUGAAGGCCUUAGGGUCGUAAAGCCCUUUCGCCGGGGAAGAUAAUGACGGUACCCGGUAAAGAAACCCCGGCUAACUCCGUGCCAGCAGCCGCAGUAACAC
rnacentral:rRNA from 1 species